rnacentral:rRNA from 1 species
GACGAACGCUGGCGGCGUGCUUAACACAUGCAAGUCGAACGGUGAAGCUCCAGCUUGCUGGAGUGGAUCAGUGGCGAACGGGUGAGUAACACGUGAGCAACCUGCCCCUGACUCUGGAAUAAGCGCUGGAAACGGCGUCUAAUACUGGAUACGAGAAGGGUCCGCAUGGGCACUUUCUGGAAUGUUUUUCGGUUGGGGAUGGGCUCGCGGCCUAUCAGCUUGUUGGUGAGGUAGUGGCUCACCAAGGCGACGACGGGUAGCCGGCCUGAGAGGGCGACCGGCCACACUGGGACUGAGACACGGCCCAGACCCCUACGGGAGGCAGCAGUGGGGAAUAUUGCACAAUGGGCGAAAGCCUGAUGCAGCGACGCCGCGUGAGGGAUGACGGCCUUCGGGUUGUAAACCUCUUUCAGCAGGGAAGAAGCGAAAGUGACGGUACCUGCAGAAGAAGCACCGGCUAACUACGUG